rnacentral:lncRNA from 1 species
AUAUUAAUCCCUUGAAUUGAGGCAAAACUGAACCAAAGGAGACAGAAAGUGACUUAUAGGUGUCAGCAUUGAAGAGACAGGAUUGACCCAACAAAUGUAUGUUAAUUGGAUGGUAAUUAAGACGGGGAACAAUUGGGUCAUUAUAGUAUUUCCACUCAGGUUCUUUAUACAGCAGACCCUGGGUAGCAUAUUACCUGCCCACCAAAAAAUUCUCUAGGCCUGGGGUUGCAAAUUCUUUUUUUAAAGCACCAGAUAGUAAAUAUUUUAAGCUUUAUGGGUCAGAUGGUUUCUGUUGCACUUAAGUCUGUUGCUGCAUGAAAGCAACUGAAGAAAAACACAUUAAUAAAGGAACAUGGCUGUGUUUCAAUAAAGCCUUAUUUAUGAAGACUCAAAUUUGAAUUUCAUAUAUUUUCACAUAUCACAAAAUAUUAGAAAAAUGUUUUUCAGCCAUUUAAUAAUAUAAAACCCAUCUUUAGAUCAUAGCUAUAUAAUAGCAUGCACUAAGCUGGAUUUUGGCCCAUGAGCUCUUGUUUUCUGGCCCCUGUUUUAGGAAAUGAAUGACUUAUCAGUUAUGAUGCAGAAAGCUUAGCAGUACUGAAAUAGAUGUUCUCUAGGACAAUGCUCUUGGUGACACUGUCUUGUUUUGUAGGUGACACUGAUGAUAAAAAUCCGUUCAAGAAUUUAGAUGUGACAUCUGCAGCAGGUUCAAAUCUCUCAGCUAUAAGACAAACUGGAUACUUCAUAAGAAUUGUCAUCUAUUAUGCACAGAGAGCCAAAAUCCGUUACUGAGAUUGUCUGGGUGAGCUGCCUGCUGGGUCCAGUGAUGCAGUAGUAGACAAAGAAGUUGAAAGAGAAGUCUGGCAUAUUCUGUGGAUGACUGGCAGAGUGUGACACCAAUAUGGCAUCAGGCCCUACUAUGAUUCCAAGGACUUUAUGACAAAAUAAAAAAGAAAAAAAAUAUUUGUAAUAGAGCUUGGUGUGAUUGAAGUAAAUAUGAUCUUUAUUUUGGGAAUGUGUACUGCAUUAUCAUUCCAUAAUGAUAUAUAGUAAUUGCCUUGUUAAUCAAACUUUAAACAUUCUAUCUUUAUUCACAAAACUUAUGUAGUUAUUACCUUUUCUAAUUUGGUUCUCUAACUCUAAGGAAAUUCGGUGAAAAAUAACAACUGUUUACUAAGUAGGUUAAUUUAAGGACAAUUAUUUUCACUUGGAAAUUUUUGUUUGGGAUUCUUGAAACUGUGCUCUCAUGUACAGCAUUUAAAAUAUUUCUAUUUGUGAAAAGCUACUUGGAUUUUCUUAGAACCAUCUUUUUGAGUAGACUCCUUUACUCAAUAGUAAAUAGAAAAUAAUAAUGUAGAGUACUAGUAUAUAUAGAAUGUUGAAUUUCUAAAUUGUUUCAGACCUAUUAAUUAUAUACACUUAGAAAAUUUAGCAAGCAGGUAUGAUUAGAAUAAACUUGUGUAUUUUUUUUAGCUAUUGAACCAUAAAACUGGAACAUCAAAGUAGUUCUGAAUCAAAUUGGUGUUUUAUUUGGUUAAUAAUCUUUUUUUUUCUUGGUAUGUAUCAAUUUAUACCAUUAAUAGAGGAUUUGAAAGUAGCACUGGGAAAUGAAGUGGGUAGAUUCUCCCAAAGUUGGAUUCCAUUUUUACCCUCAGUGAAUUGUCAACUUUUUUUUUUUAAAUUUAUUUUUUUAAUGUUAGUAUUCAACAGAAGCUCUGACAGUCUAGGAUAUAAAACAUUUUAUUUAACUUGUACAGCUCAUUUACAAAUGAAGCUUCCCUCGUGACUUAUCUUGAAAUCCUUAUUCAAAGCAUAUACUAUUUAAUUUGUCAGUAUGCCAUUGCCUGACUGCAUGUUUUUGGUCAAGAGUGUAGUGCCACUAACAUAGCCAUCCUGCUAGGAAGAUGAUCUGAAGGUUGCUGGACAGUAGAAUUUACACACUUCUAAUUUACAAGUCAGAUUAGGGUCAUAAUCAUAUGAUAGUUUUAUGUGGAAUUGAUUUCAUGGUUUUUUAAGCUAUUUUUUGUUAUUGCAGCAAUGCCAUUAACUGAAAUGCAGUUUUAUUGUAGCAUGAGAGUACCUCAAACUCUUUUGAAUUUGGAAGAAGAGGGUUGUUGGUAUAGAUGCUUAAAUCCUAAAACUCAGGGAUUUUGUGUACCUGGGUAUGUAUGUAUACACAUAUAUGUGGAUGUGUGGGUUAUCAAACAUAAGGUCUUGUGUAUACUAGAUGGGUGCUCUACCUCUGAGCUAUGUCCUCUGUUCAUAACCCAAGGAGUUUGAAUGAGAAUGUCUCUUAUUGUACAUAAUUUAAUUGCCCAAUGGAUUGAUUUGAGGUUGGUGUGAUAAAUAUUUGAAAAUAUAUGGUAUUUUGAAAUGUAAGUUAUUUUGGAAGGACCAUUUGUCUGUGUGUAUGUGUGUGUUUAAAUCAGCAAUCAAGGGCUGGGGAUGUAGUUCAGUGGUAGAGUGAAUGCCUAACAUGUAUGAGACCUUGGGUUUGAUCCUCAUCAUUGUAAAUAUAAAUAAAAUAGCAAUCACCUUUUUGCCUUAUAGAUAAGAUAUAUUUAGUAAGAGAUGUGAAUUUAGUGUUAAUAGCUCAUUGAAAUCUGGACGUCCCUUGUGGUUUUUGGAGGCUUAGUGUAAGGGGCAAGGGAUAAUAAAUAGAGCACUGUAGUUUACAGUUACUUUUUCUUUUCAAAAUAAGGUAACAUAGAAUAGUACAUAAAUACAAUUUAAUGGGUUAUAGUUAUUCUCAAUUUACCUGUCCAGAUUGAAAUUGAGAACCAUCUCAUAAUAGCAUUAAGAAGUAUUCAUAGCAGAAUGACUAGUGCUAUUCAAUUUGAGUGUUCUAUGUUUAGUUGCAGAAAAACAUCUGUGUUAAAUUUUUGCCAUGGUUCUUGAGCCAUUAAUUGAUUUGUUAAAUAUAGUCAAGAAAAUAAGAAAAUCCGAGUGUUUAAAACUGGGUUUGUAUCAGCAGUCAAAAGAACAUUUGGUUUUAUCCUCACCUACUUUCUUAUGUGGUAGACUCAUGAGUUACUUUCUGAGAUGACAAAACAUUGGGAUGAGGAGGAUGUUAAGAAUUCAUCAGUUAUGUCCUUUUUUCUAUCAACUAUGUUUCACAAAGGAUUUAUUUAGUUAUGACAUUUUUAGGUUAUGAUGAUUUACAUGGACUUCAAGAAGAUUUGGAGAAAAGUUAAUGUAAGGUAAGGGUAUAGUAGGUAUAUAUUACUGUGUUUGUUUUAGUAGAGCAGUGAUUUUAGGUUGAUACUUAUACCAUCUUUGCCUCUAACUUCAUGGUCUCUGAUUAUAGCUGCUUUUUCUUCAGGAGAAUGGGAGGUAAUUUUUUGAAUUUCAGACAUUGGGAAAUUAGUGGAAUGGAGUGAUUUGUUACUGUGGACUGUUUAUUGAAGCUCUGCAACCAGACAUUGAGUAAGGUACUUUACAUAAGUUAUUUCUAGUUCUGUCUACACCCUUGAAAGCGUAUAGAAUUAUCUCCAUUUCAUGAUGAGGAUACUAGGAGUUAAAUGGUAUAUCUUUGAAUAAAUAUUGAAAUAGUGUCCUAUAGCUAGUGAUUCAUUUUGGGAAAAGUUUUUUUUUGUAUCUGGAGAAUGUUUGAUGAAUUAAGAAAUAAAAAUGUAAUCUAAAAAACCAGCAUAUACUAUGGGAAAAUUUCAAGAUUUAACAGCUUUUAACAUGAAUAACUUCAUGUUGGGAUAGAAUGAUGUUGGAGCCUCCUUGAAAACCUUGAUGUGGUACAUUUGCCAAUGAUGAAUCUGGUCUCUAGAAUUAUCUAUUGGGUUGCCUUUGAUAUUAGUAUAGUAUUAUGAUAUAUAACUGUACUUCCGGGUUUAAAUAAUGUCUAGGUAGAAAAUUCAUAUUUAAAGGGUGAGUGAUAAUGAGCUAUUAUAGAAACUGAUGCAUAUCAUAAGUUGAGUUGGAUCACCUCUAAAUAGAAUGUUUAGAGAAAGUAUUUGCAAGUAUGUUUGAAGAAGUGAUGAAAGAAAAUUAAACUAUAUACCCCAGUGAAUUCAGUCUAUUUGAUCAGUUUCCUAAUUCAGUUUAGUUGAACAAAGUUGGAUUUGAGUUGAAGGAAGCUUUAGUGAGCGUUUAGAACAGAAUAAGUAUGGUACUGCACUAAGGCAUUUCAUGGAAAGCAAAGAUGACUGAGACAUUUGCUGUCUCAGGGAAUGGCAUUAGCAUAGACAACUGAAGGUAAUCCAUGACAGAAUAACAUGGGUGCUCUCCAUUUUUAUGUGGCAGUACUGUGGGAAUGUGAAAAAUGUGGUAUGUAUAACUGGGGUUCAGGGUAGGCUAUGUGGAGGAGGCCAGGUUUGGGCUGGAUCUUGAAAGAAGAGAAGGAUAUCAAGUAGGAAGAAGGGUAUUCUAUCCUAAAAUAAGGGGUAAUCAUAGGCAUGGAAUUAGGAAUAAAUAGAUGGCUGGGAAGCAGUAAUACUUAUACUGAACAGAUACAAAUUUUAGAAAAUGGUUUCAACUACCAUUUAAGCAUACUUGCCCACAUUAUAAUUCCAGUAGAGGCUUGACAUAUUUGCUUGUUAUUUGUACGUUUCUUUGGUAAUGCACAAAGUAUCUUUCUUUGUGAUAUAUGGUGUGCAUUAUCAAGGUGGAAAUGUUACUCACUUAAGAGCCUGGAGGGUUAUAAGCAUCAAAAUCAAACUUCUAAGUCUAAUCACAAAGUCUAUUACUUGCCUUGAUUUAAAACAGUAAAAUAUAGAGAUGAUGAUGAUUUUUACAUAUGAACCUAAGAAGCAUUUGGCAAUGCAAUUAGUUUCAUAACAAGUGAUUGUUUUUUAAAGCCUUCCCAGAAUAAGAAUGAGUAUCUUGAUGCUAGUGUCACUUUUAAAUAGCUGUAGCUCCAGGAAUGUGUCUGUUCACAUUAUUAUCUUAAAUAUACACCUUAUCUAUCCAUAUUGCUGUACUUCAAAUGUGAAAGUAAAAAUAAAGGUGUGAAGUGCCUAGCAGACUUGUAUGGAUUUAUGUAAAUCAGAAAACACAAAAAUCCAUUAGUCUCAGUGCUGAAGCCUUGAUGUAUUUAAGUAUGAAAUAUUUCCUUAAAGUUACACACAAACACACACACACACACACACACACCCCAUAAUUUCUAGGGAUUUACUUAGCAAAAAAAAAAAUAUUUAUUUCACUGAACUCCAGACAUGGAUUCAACUGUCGUCUUAUUGCUCCAUAAGAUUAUUAAAGUUAUAUAAAUAUUUAAGUGCCCCAAAUUGAUCCUUUUACCCCAAUUUUUUCAUCUUUGGCCUUUCCCUUGUAAAUUAGUGGACAAUUAGUCUUUAUUUCUUCUUUCCCUUAGACAAACUCUUGGAGUCAUCACUGAUUUCUUUCUUUUCUUUUUAAUAAUUUUAGUUUAUUUUUUAGUGCGUUAUAGUUAUACAUAAUGGUGGGGUUCAUUUUGACAUAUUCAUAAAAGUAUAUAACAUAGUUUUUUCCAUUUUAUUACCCAUACUACCUGCUUCCCUUCUAUCCUCUCUCCUCCAGGUCCCCUUUCUCCACUCUACUGGUCUUUAUUUCUUCUUUUCCUUUUUUCUUCCUUCCUUCCUUGUCCACACUCUGUCAGUAGUUCAUGCUGACUCAUCAAAACACAUCUACAAUUUAAACCUGACCACCUGUCACCACCUUCGCUACUACCUUGUUUAAGCCACUAUCUCUUACUUGGGCUAUUUUAAUAGCCUCCUGACUGGCCUCUCAGCUUCUCAGAACCUGAAACCUAGUCCUCUAAUAUAGUACAAUAACCAGAAAAAUGAUACUAAAACAGAGGUAAAAUCUGUCACUCAAAACUUCAGUUGUUUCCUAUCUUAUGCAUUGUAAAAGCUAAAUCUUGUUAGAAGCCUGCCUAUAAAACUCUGUCUAGUGCACCUUCAUAACCUCAUUAUUUAGAUUUUCUUUGUUUGCUACCUUUCAUUCACAGCUGAAUUGUAUAUUGUUUCUUGAAUAAUUGUUCUGGGAUAUUAAGUUUACUGGUUCUUCUUCCUGAAGUGCUUUUACUAUUAGAUGGCCAUUCAGCUUAUUCUCUAGUCUUUCUUGAUAUGUUAAAUCCCUAGUGAGACCUUCCUUGAUCAUCUUACUUAAAAUGCCUCUCUCCUUCCUACUUCUUUUUCUUGUUUUCACUUCCCCAAAUUCACUGACUGUAUAUUCCAUCUUACUCUUUUGUGGUCUUUUUCUGAUAUGAUGAAACCUUGAUGACUGCAAGGAAUUUUUCCCAAUUUAUUUAAUAUUGGACCACUAAACCUAUUCCCAUACAUAUUUGUUACUUAAUACAUAAUUGACUGAAUGAAUAAAAGAUAUAACUUACUUCAUAGAAGUUAAACCUGUGGUAAAAACCUAAUUUGUCUCCUGUUGACAUCUUUGGGGAAUGAUAUUUCCAAAUGCCUGAGUGUUACUUCUUCAAAAAUUUUAAAUAAUAUAUAUUUGUGUAAUUUGCAUAUAAUAUACUUACUUUAAGCAUGGAGGUCCAUGAAUUUUGGCAAAUAUACACUGUUAUGUAAUAUUUUUGUUCCAAUUAAAAGGUAUAGAAUAUUUCUGUCACUUCAAAAAAUUCCCAUCUCUCCCGUCACUUCUUUCCUCAUCCCCAUCUUUAGGCAACUAUUGAUCUGACUUUUUGUCAUUGUAAAUUUGUUUUACUUGCUCUAGAGUUUCAUAUAAACAGACUUAUACAUUAUAUGUUUUUUCAGUGUGCUAUUUUUGAGGCUAUUAUUAGGUGUCAUAUUAAUUUGUUUUCAUUACAGAAUAGUGUGCCUUUUUUAAUAAAUGUGCCACAAUUUGCUUAUCAGUUUAUUUGUUAUGGACAUUUGAAGUGUUUCCAUUUUUUUGCCUAUAAGUAAUAAUGCCACCCUGAGUGUUCACAUAUGAGUCUUUGUGUAAAUAUGCUUUGUCAUAUGGUAAGUGCAUGUUUAACUUUGAAAGAAAUUUCCCCUCUGUGAUCAUACCAUAUUCACUACCAAUGUCUGAAAUUCUAGUUCCUAAACAUUCUAGCUGGUACUUACCAUAAUUCUUUUAAAUCCAGACAUUCUGUUGAGUGUGUAGUCAUAUAUCUUAUUGUUUUAAUUUUCAUUUAUUAAUUACUUGAAUUACUUGAUUUCCAGUGAUGCUGAUAUUUUCUGUUUUUUUUUGUUGUUGUUGUUGUGGGGAGAUGCUGGGGUUGAAGCCAGGGUUGUUUCAGGUCAUGCGCAUGAUCUUUCCAUUUACUUUUUGGCAAUUGUUUAUCUUUUGUGAAAUGUUUGAUCAAAUCUUGUGUUCAUUUGAGGAAAAAUUGAAUUAUUCAUUGUCAUUCAGUUACAGAGUUCUUUAUAUAUUUGUAUUCAAAUCCUUGUCAGAUGUAUCUUUUCCUGGUCUGUAGAUAUCCUUUUUCUUUUAUUGAUGGUCCAAUUUGAGGAGCAGAGGUUUUCAAAUUUAAGUCUAGUUUAUUAAUAUUUUCUUUUGUGGUCUGUCUUCCUUCCCUCUCUCUCUUUCUUCCUUGAACUCUUUGACUCCUGGUUGUAAGGAUUUUCUCAUUUUCUCUAAUCAUUUUACAGUUUAAGCUUUUUCAUUAGGUCUUUGGUCCAUUUUGAGUAAAUUUUUGUAUACAUGUGGGGUAAAGAUUAAGGUUCACUUUUCUGUCUCUCCUUGUUCAAGGUCCACUUGUUGAAAAAAACUAUCUUUUCUCCUUUAAGUUAUCUUUAAAUGUUUGUUAUAAAUCAACUAAUUGUAUAUGUGUAGUACUUUUCGUAGAUUGUAUUAUAUUGAUCUAUAUGUGUUUCCCGUCAACAUAUUGUUUCAUAGUAAGUCUUGAAAUCACAUAGUGUAAAUUCUUUAACUUCGUUUCUCUUUUUUCAAAUUGUAUUGAGUAUUUCUUUUUCAUUUUCAUAUCAAUUAUAGAUUUGGCUUAUAAUUUUAUGCAAAGUGUCUGUAGGAUUUUAAUUGCCACUGUAUUGAAUUCUGUAGAUCAAUUAGGGAAGCAUUAAUCUCUAGACUACUGUUCUAUUUCAAUCCAUGAACACAAUAUAGCUCCAUUUAUUUAGUUAUUCUUUAGUUUCUCUAAGCAGUAGUUUUCAGUGUGUUGGUUUUUUAAAAUUUAUCCUAAGUGAAUAGGAUAUGAAUUAGAUUUUGAAUGUUUUUGAAAAUGCCAUUUUUUCAAAACAAAAUUUACAAUUUGUAAUGGUUAUUAUUUAGGAGUAGACUUAAUUUUUACAUGUUGAACUUGUAUCCUGCUACCUUGCUAUUUCAUCCAUUUAUGCUUUUAACUUUUGUGAAUUCUUUAGGUUUUGCUUUGUAUAUGAUCCUGUUAAUCACAAAUAAAGAUAAUUUUAUGUCUUCCUUUACAGUUUUCAUGUCUUCUAUUUCUCUUUCUUUAUUUUAUUGACUUAAACCUCAUUGCAGGGUUAAAUAGGAAUAAUUAGAGUGAACAUCUUUGUCUAGUUUAUGAUUCAGGGUAAAACUAUUUAGAUUUUCACUAAUAUGUAUGACAUUGGCUGUACAUAUUUUAUAGGUGCCCAAUCAAGGAGAGAAACUUCCCUUUUAUACUUUAUACUGAGAGCUUUUAUUGUAAAUUAGUGUUAAAUUUUCCCAGGGGC